rnacentral:rRNA from 1 species
GAGGAAUAUUGCGCAAUGGGGGCAACCCUGACGCAGCAACGCCGCGUGAGUGAGGAAGGUUUUCGGACCGUAAAGCUCUGUCGAGCGGGAAGAAAUGCAUGGUGGCUAAUAUCCAUCAUGCUUGACGGUACCGCUAAAGGAAGCACCGGCUAACUCCGUGCCAGCAGCCGCGGUAAUACGGGGGGUGCAAGCGUUGUUCGGAAUUAUUGGGCGUAAAGAGCGUGUAGGCGGCUGAAUAAGUCAGAUGUGAAAUCCCUGGGCUUAACCCAGGACGUGCAUUUGAAACUAUUCAGCUUGAGUAAGGGAGAGGAAAGUGGAAUUCCUGGUGUAGAGGUGAAAUUCGUAGAUAUCAGGAGGAACACCGGUGGCGAAGGCGACUUUCUGGCCCUAUACUGACGCUGAGACGCGAGAGCGUGGGUAGCAAACA